GAAAGAUAAAACUUUAUUUGACAAUGACAGCAAUCAUACUUAAUUAUACACCAUAAUAUAUAAACUCACGUAUAAAUUUGCUGUCCGCCAAAAAGGCGUCCACUCAGCUAUUGCAGCGCCCUUGGCCACAGCCAAGGACACCGCGCUGGUGUUUCAGUGGAGGCCUCUUUAGUAGUGACGCACUAUUAAAUAAACAAAAAAAUACGAAAGGCUAACAAACACAAGGGAGACAAAGUGAUGAGUGCGCGAGCAACGACAUUGAGGCGGAGCGCGUUCGCCCUGAAACCCGUUUUCAGGCAAGAACGGGACACCCAGCCGACCACACGCGUCGCGCGCGCACCGAAACAGACUAAACACGGAAUAAUAUCAAAGGAAAGUCAACAUAAACAUCAUACUUAUGGAAAGAAAACAAAAAUGGAAGGUUAUAAUUAUAAUAAAUACAUAUGCCUACGUAAAUAAGAUGCUUCAACUUGUUCAUGGAUGAGCAAAUCCGGGAGUUAGCGCUUAUACCUACUUAACGACGACCCACCCUGCGCGUCGUGAAUAACGUCGAGAUCACGUAUAGGCGGUGGGAUGUUAUUAAAGAUAUGACUCGCAAGAUAUUGGAAGCAAUGGCGAUACAUAGCAGCUUUGUGUUUGGGCGUAAGCAUGAGAUAUGAUGAUGCUCUCGUGCUAAUGGAGUGGUGAUUGCGAGCCCAGUCCAGCUUGUCAUAGAGGUAAUCAGGUGAUUGCUGCUUCACUACACCGAAGAGAAGUGUUGCUAGGUGCAGCUUCCAUCGCGCUGCAAUUUUCAAAAGACCCCCCUUGUUCAAGAACGGUGUGACGUGUGAACGAGGAGGAAUCGUGAAGCAGUAUCUUGCGCAUGCGUUCUGAACCCUCUGUAAGAUUUUUUCUGUUUUACGUAGUAAGCAAGGUCCGUAUACAGUGUCAGCAUAAUUCAGUUUAGAAAGUAUAAGUGAUUCGCACAACUGUAUACGGAGUCUUACAUCAAUGUACCGUCUAAUCC